CGUCGUGUGUCAGUGUCUACGCGUCAGGUGAUUACCACUUCGCUUCACUUGUUUGUUGUUGUCGGUCGUUUGAUGUGUUCGGUGUUUUCUGAGUUAUAUUAUAUAGAUUAUAUUAUCUCCUUAAAAUCAGUUCUUUUGAGAACUAUUGAGUUGGUUUGGCCUUUUAUUAUAAGCGUUCCUAACCUUUUGGAUUGCAACAUGCCCUCAAACAAGAAAAUUGGUGUUAAAGGGAAGGUAAUUCACUCCCAAGAGCGCGAAAUUAUCGCAAAUGUUUUGUGUUUCAUGAAAGAUGAGGCGGGGAAUGGCCAAAAAAUCCCAUUAAAAAAAUUCAGGGCGAUAGUUCUGGCAGCUACUAAAAUUGGCCGAAGUACCUACAAGAGAAUUCACAAAGAGGCUCUCGAUGUAGAAACAGGAAAAGUAUCUUAAUUUUCUAGUCCCAAAAAAUGUAGAAAACGUAGCAGUCCAAAGAGUGAUUUACACGAAGGUGAAAUAGAAGCGAUAUUUUUCCGAAUCGACACAAUAUUCACGCUGAUGAAUUUUGCUCACAUUAAAUAAAAUACAUGUAUCCACA